rnacentral:rRNA from 1 species
UACGUAGGUGGCAUGGUAAGCCAGAAGUGAAAACCCGGGGCUCAACCCCGCGGAUUGCUUUUGGAACUAUCAGGCUGGAGUGCUGGAGGGGUGAGCGGAAUUCCUAGUGUAGCGGUGAAAUGCGUAGAUAUUAGGAGGAACACCGGUGGCGAAGGCGGCUUACUGGACAGAAACUGACACUGAGGCUCGAAAGCGUGGGGAGCAAACAGG